AUUGAACGCUGGCGGCAGGCUUAACACAUGCAAGUCGAGCGGGGAAUGGUAGCUUGCUACCUGACCUAGCGGCGGACGGGUGAGUAAUGCUUAGGAAUCUGCCUAUUAGUGGGGGACAACAUUCCGAAAGGAAUGCUAAUACCGCAUACGCCCUACGGGGGAAAGCAGGGGAUCUUCGGACCUUGCGCUAAUAGAUGAGCCUAAGUCAGAUUAGCUAGUUGGUGGGGUAAAGGCCUACCAAGGCGACGAUCUGUAGCGGGUCUGAGAGGAUGAUCCGCCACACUGGGACUGAGACACGGCCCAGACUCCUACGGGAGGCAGCAGUGGGGAAUAUUGGACAAUGGGCGCAAGCCUGAUCCAGCCAUGCCGCGUGUGUGAAGAAGGCCUUUUGGUUGUAAAGCACUUUAAGCGAGGAGGAGGCUACUGAGAUUAAUACUCUUGGAUAGUGGACGUUACUCGCAGAAUAAGCACCGGCUAACUCUGUGCCAGCAGCCGCGGUAAUACAGAGGGUGCGAGCGUUAAUCGGAUUUACUGGGCGUAAAGCGUGCGUAGGCGGCUUUUUAAGUCGGAUGUGAAAUCCCUGAGCUUAACUUAGGAAUUGCAUUCGAUACUGGGAAGCUAGAGUAUGGGAGAGGAUGGUAGAAUUCCAGGUGUAGCGGUGAAAUGCGUAGAGAUCUGGAGGAAUACCGAUGGCGAAGGCAGCCAUCUGGCCUAAUACUGACGCUGAGGUACGAGAGCAUGGGGAGCAAACAGGAUUAGAUACCCUGGUAGUCCAUGCCGUAAACGAUGUCUACUAGCCGUUGGGGCCUUUGAGGCUUUAGUGGCGCAGCUAACGCGAUAAGUAGACCGCCUGGGGAGUACGGUCGCAAGACUAAAACUCAAAUGAAUUGACGGGGGCCCGCACAAGCGGUGGAGCAUGUGGUUUAAUUCGGUGCAACGCGAAGAACCUUACCUGGUCUUGACAUAGUAAGAACUUUCAGAGAUGGAUUGGUGCCUUCGGGAACUUACAUACAGGUGCUGCAUGGCUGUCGUCAGCUCGUGUCGUGAGAUGUUGGGUUAAGUCCCGCAACGAGCGCAACCCUUUUCCUUAUUUGCCAGCGGGCUAAGCCGGGAACUUUAAGGAUACUGCCAGUGACAAACUGGAGGAAGGCGGGGACGACGUCAAGUCAUCAUGGCCCUUACGACCAGGGCUACACACGUGCUACAAUGGUCGGUACAAAGGGUUGCUACCUAGCGAUAGGAUGCUAAUCUCAAAAAGCCGAUCGUAGUCCGGAUUGGAGUCUGCAACUCGACUCCAUGAGGUCGGAAUCGCUAGUAAUCGCGGAUCAGAAUGCCGCGGUGAAUACGUUCCCGGGCCU
rnacentral:rRNA from 1 species